rnacentral:rRNA from 1 species
AGUGAACGCUGGCGGUAGGCCUAACACAUGCAAGUCGAACGGCAGCACAGUAAGAGCUUGCUCUUACGGGUGGCGACUGGCGGGUGGGUGAGGAAUACAUCGGAAUCUACUUUUUCGUGCGUGAUAACGUAGGGAAACUUACGCUAAUACCGCAUACGACCUACGUGUGAAAGCAGGGGAUCUUCGGACCUUGCGCGAGUGUAUGAGCCGAUGUCGGAUUAGCUAGUUGGCGGGGUAAAGGCCCACCAAGGCGACGAUCCGUAGCUGGUCUGAUAGGAUGAUCAGCCACACUGGAACUGAGACACGGUCCAGACUCCGGCGGGAGGCAGCAGUGGGGAAUAGUGGACAAGGGGCGAAAGCCUGAUCCAGCCAUACCGCGUGUGUGAAGAAGGUCUUGGGAUUGUAAAGCACUUUUGGUGGGAAAGAAAGGCAGUAAGUUAAUACCUUGCUGUUUUGACGUUACCAAAAGAAUAAGCACCGGCUAACUUCGUG